AACUUGAAGAGGCCCUUCCUUAGUACGAGAGGACCGGGAAGGACGAAGCUCUAGUGUACCUGCUGUUCUACCAAGGGCAUCGCAGGGUAGCUACCUUCGGUUAAGAUAAGCGCUGAAAGCAUCUAAGCGCGAAGCUGUCUCUAAGAUUAGGUUUCAUAGACUGGUUAGAGAAUAUAACCUUGAUAGGCCGUAUGUGUAAGUCCAGUAAUGGAUUGAGCAGAGCGGUACUAAUAAGUCGUUUGAUUUUCUC
rnacentral:rRNA from 1 species